AACGAACGCUGGCGGCAUGCCUAACACAUGCAAGUCGAACGAGACCUUCGGGUCUAGUGGCGCACGGGUGCGUAACGCGUGGGAAUCUGCCCUUGGGUUCGGAAUAACAGCGAGAAAUUGCUGCUAAUACCGGAUGAUGACGUAAGUCCAAAGAUUUAUCGCCCAAGGAUGAGCCCGCGUAGGAUUAGCUAGUUGGUGAGGUAAAGGCUCACCAAGGCGACGAUCCUUAGCUGGUCUGAGAGGAUGAUCAGCCACACUGGGACUGAGACACGGCCCAGACUCCUACGGGAGGCAGCAGUGGGGAAUAUUGGACAAUGGGCGAAAGCCUGAUCCAGCAAUGCCGCGUGAGUGAUGAAGGCCUUAGGGGUUGUAAAGCUCUUUUACCCGGGAUGAUAAUGACAG
rnacentral:rRNA from 1 species